rnacentral:rRNA from 1 species
UACAGAGGGUGCAAGCGUUAAUCGGAAUUACUGGGCGUAAAGCGUGCGUAGACGGUUAUGUAAGUCAGGUGUGAAAGCCCCGGGCUCAACCUGGGAAUUGCAUUUGAGACUGCAUAGCUAGGGUGCGGAAGAGGGAAGCGGAAUUUCCGGUGUAGCGGUGAAAUGCGUAGAUAUCUGAAGGAACAUCAGUGGCGAAAGCGACUUCCUGGACCAAUACUGACGCUCAUGUGCGAAAGCGUGGGAGCAAACAGGG